rnacentral:rRNA from 1 species
GUGAGUAAUGUCUGGGAAACUGCCUGAUGGAGGGGGAUAACUACUGGAAACGGUGGCUAAUACCGCAUAACGUCGCAAGACCAAAGAGGGGGACCUUCGGGCCUCUUGCCAUCAGAUGUGCCCAGAUGGGAUUAGCUAGUUGGUGAGGUAACGGCUCACCAAGGCGACGAUCCCUAGCUGGUCUGAGAGGAUGACCAGCCACACUGGAACUGAGACACGGUCCAGACUCCUACGGGAGGCAGCAGUGGGGAAUAUUGCACAAUGGGCGCAAGCCUGAUGC